UCCUUAAUUUACAUAAUUUCUAGGGUCAACUUUAUAGGCUUCUAGGUUAGCUAGAUUGCGGAAAUUACUAGGCAAUGAAAUGCUUCAUCUUUCUUAGAAAUCACAAAAGUGUAUAACUCUCCUGUAAAGUUUAUAUAUAAUACGAAGAUCACUCAAAGGCAAAGGGAAUUUGGCCAUUCUAACUUAUUUUGACAUGGUCUCAGCAGGAGUUCUCUUCUGGGUGGCUGCCGGCAAUUUCUGAGGCUGUUGGCAACUUCUCUAAGUGGUGGUGUGGCUGUCAGCACCCUCUGUGAACAUCGGCAGUGGUUGUGCUACCGUUGGGUCUCUCUAUCUCUCUCGGUGCUCCUAGUUGUAGUCAGGUCUCUCUCUCUCGGUGCCGAUAGAGCUUGGCUCUCCAGGUUCAUUGAUAAUUUAGUUUUUGCCAUGGGUAGUCUGGAUCUUGAUUUCGAGUGGGCCUUUUAUUUUUGUCUAGGUCAUUUAAUUUUAAGUGGGCCAAUUUGAUUUUUUUUUUUUUUUACUUGGAUUUUAUUUCAAGUGGGUUAUUUCAUUUUGCCGUGACUUUAUUUUUUGGAUUGGAUUUACUGGUUGUUGAUUUUUUAGUCCAUUUUAUUUGAGGCACUUUCGGCACUUCUCUGUGGGUAUCUCUUGGUUUAUCUUUGAUUUGCCUUGUGUCAGAAUUUAUUUCUUUGUGAUGGACUCUGCCCCUGUAUGUGUCAAGUUUAUGGGCACAAACUACUCUACUUGGAUUUUUCAGUUUGAACUUUUCCUCAAGGAAAAAGAUCUUUAGAGUCAUAUUGAUGCUACUGACAAAUCCAAAGAUCUCAAGUCUUCUCCUUCAUGAGCUAUACUUGAUGCUCGGAUUAUGUCUUGGCUUCUUGAUUCGGUGGACGCACAUAUUAUUACCAACUUGUGAGCUCAUCGCUCCACUCAAUCCAUGUGGAAUUACUUGAAGAAGAUUUAUAGUCAAGCUAAUGAUGUUCAUCGCUUUCAGUUAGAACAUGCAAUUGCCAUGUUUCAACAUGGUAGUCUUUCCAUCCAAUACUACUACUUGGCCUUUCUGAUUCUUUGGCAUGACUAUAAUGAUUGGUUACAGCGGGUAUUCCUGUUACCGCUCUUUCGACUAUUCAGACUCUUCAUGAGACUAGUCGGCAUGAUCAAUUACUUAUGAAAUUAUGCUUGGAAUAUGAAUAUGUUCGCUCCUCUCUACUAAACAGAUCUCCUAUUCCUUCUCUUGAUAUUUGUUUUGGUGAGUUACUUGGUGAAGAACAAUGUCUUGGUACUCAAGCUAUUCUUGGGCAAUCUCAUGGCAAUUCUGAGAUGGCAACUGUGGCUUAUGUUGCCCAAGGACGAUGAUCACCUAUGACUUCUAAAAAUUUACAGUGUUUCUACUGCAAGGAAUAUGGGCAUAUUGCUAGUAAUUGUCCUAAGAAUUAUUGUUCUUAUUGCAAGAACAAUGAUCACGUUAUCAAAGAAAGUCAUAUCCGUCCCCAGAAUCGUUAGGUCCAAGCAUUUCAGACUUCUAUUAUUGUUCCUCCCGCAGUGACUUCUUUGGCACAUGAAUCUUCCUCUGGUGCUUCCUUUGAUCUUGCACCUCUUGCAACAAAUUACUACACACCAGAAAUGAUGCAACAAAUGCUAAUUUUAGCAUUAUUUGCAAUGGGGUUUAAAGAAAUGGUGCAUCUGUUGCACUAUUUCUGGUGUACAGUAAUUUGAUGCAGGAGGUGCAAGAUCAGAGGAAGCACCUGAGGAAGAGCCAUGUGUUACAAAAGUCGCUACAGGAGGAACAAUCAUAGAAGUCUAAAAUGCUUGGACCUGAUGAUUCUGGGGGCAAAUACAACAUUCUUUGAUAAUGUGACCAUUCUUCUUACAAUAAGAACAAUAUUUCUUAGGACAAUUAGUAGCAAUAUGCCCAUAUUCCUUGUAACAGAAACGCUAUAAAUUUUUAUACAUCAUAGGUAUUCCUUGUUCUUGGGCAACAUAAGCCACAUUUGUCAUCCCGGAAUUGCCAUGAGAUUGUUCCAAAAUAGCUUAAGUACUAAGAUAUUAUUCUUCACGAAAUAACUCAACAAAACAAAUAUCAAGAGAAUGAAUAGGAGAUCUGUUUAGUAGAGUGGAGUGAGCAGAUUCAUAUUCUGGUCGUAGUUUCAUAAGUAAUUGAUCACGCCGGCUAGUCUCGUGAAGAGUUUGAAUAGUCGAAAGAGCGACAAUAGGAACAUUCGCCAUAACCAAAUCAGUAUAGUCAUGCCAAAGAGUCAGAAAGGCCAAGUAGUAGUCUUGGAUAGAAAGACUACCAUGUUGAAACAUGGCAAUUGCAUGUUCUAACUAAAAGCAACGAGCAUCAUUAGCUUGAUGAUAAACCUUCUUCAAGUAAUUCCACAUGAAUUGAGCGAAGCAAUGACCCCGCAAGUUGGUAAGAACAUGUGCCUCCACUGAACCAAGAAGCCAACACAUAAUUCGAGUAUCAAGUACAACCCAUGAAGGAGAAGACUCGAGAUCUUUGGAUUUUUCAGUAGCAGAUUUUGGAGCGACAUUCGUGCCAUCAAUAUGACCCCAAAGAUCUUUUCACUUGAGGAAAAGUUCAAACUAAAAAGCCCAAGUAGAGUAGUUUGUGCCGGUAAACUUGACACACACAGGGGCAGAGUCCAUCACAAAGAAAUAAAUUCCGACACAAGGCAAAUCAAAGAUAAGCCGAGAGAUACCCAGCAUAGGGCCAAACAUGACUUGCAAUACAGCAAGUCAGCCAGUUUCUUCACAUCUCUUGUCAUUUUCAUUUGGCUACUGUCCGUAGGAUCAUACGCAAUGUUUAGAGCAUUUCUACCUAUGGAUUAUUCUUUCCUGCAGGUAACUCUCCUCGACUUACUGCUUAUAGUGACGCUGAUUGGGCCAAUUGUGCUAAUACACAUCGCUCUAUUACUGGUUGGUGUGUGCUCUUAGGUGAUGCAUUGAUCUCUUGGAAGAGUAAGAAGCAAGACAGAGUCUCUAAGUCAUCUACAGAAUCUGAGUAUUGGGCAAUGUCUCUUGCUUGUUUCGAAAUUAUUUGGCUUCAGGUUUGCUUGAUGAGUUAGAUUUUUCUGAAACCGAUCCUACACCUCUAAAUGUUGAUAAUACGAGUGUUAUUCAAAUCACGUCAAAUUCUGUCUAUCAUAAGUGCAGAAAGCAUAUUGAAGUCGACUGUCACUCUAUCCAUGAAGCAUUUGAAGCUUGUGUUAUCACUCUUUCA